UCCUUAAACAUCUGAUCCCGAGUGCUCCAGAGGAGAACUAAGGCAUUUUCUGGGAUUAACAGGGCGCAGGCGUGGAGAGAUAAAGCUCCACGCUGGUAGGAAUCAGCCACAAAGAAUAGAAGCUACAUGACCAGGACUUUACUUCAAAAGAAACCAAGUGUGCACACGUUCAGGAAUCUGUAAUUGAGUACAUAAGGCCAGCAAGCCUUUAGUUAAGGCUUUCACCUGCAUUCUACAUUGAGUUCCAGGAGUGGGGGCUGAGAAUUCUGAAAUGUAACAAGUUCCCCUGGUGAUUCUCAUAUAUUCCAUGGAUUCAGCUGAUGAAGAUAUAACCAGAGAAGCAUCGUUAUCAUCUGCUGACAUCAUUUCCCAGUGGCAGACCAAAGACCCAAAAGGGAGAAAAUAUGCUCCUAACCACCUGGUUUAAAACCCAAAAUCUGUAAAGCAAUAGAAUUUUUCUAAGACCUUGGAGGAUAUAGCAGGGAACAAGAUCUACAAGACACAUCACCUAUGAGAGACGGAGCUUGAAGAGGACAGGCCUGGAAAAUCAGAGCCACUUGGAGGAGAACCAGGGCACCCCGGACAACAACCAGUACCAGCUGUCAACCUAGUGAGCACACAUUCUUGGAAACUGACUCUCUAGCCCAGGCAAGGCUGCAGAUAAUGCAGUCACAGUCAAGUGCUUGAGUAGAAAAACCUCAUGAGGGACCACAAAUCGGAAUCAGUCAGCUAAAUUAUUCCUGAAUCCAUGACCUAGAAUAACUGUGACACGGAGGAGCCUGGCUGGUUCAGAUGAUGAAGCAUGGGACUCUUGGGGUCAUGAGUUCAAGCUCCAUAUUGGGUGGGGAGCCUAUGAAAAAAAAAAAACCAGGACUAGAAUAACUGUGAGGCAAC